rnacentral:rRNA from 1 species
AUUGAACGCUGGGCAGGCCUAACACAUGCAAGUCGAACGGUAACAGGAAGCAGCUUGCUGCUUUGCUGACGAGUGGCGGACGGGUGAGUAAUGUCUGGGAAACUGCCCGAUGGAGGGGGAUAACUACUGGAAACGGUAGCUAAUACCGCAUAACGUCGCAAGACCAAAGAGGGGGACCUUAGGGCCUCUUGCCAUCGGAUGUGCCCAGAUGGGAUUAGCUAGUAGGUGGGGUAACGGCUCACCUAGGCGACGAUCCCUAGCUGGUCUGAGAGGAUGACCAGCCACACUGGAACUGAGACACGGUCCAGACUCCUACGGGAGGCAGCAGUGGGGAAUAUUGCACAAUGGGCGCAAGCCUGAUGCAGCCAUGCCGCGUGUAUGAAGAAGGCCUUCGGGUUGUAAAGUACUUUCAGCGGGGAGGAAGGGAGUAAAGUUAAUACCUUUGCUCAUUGACGUUACCCGCAGAAGAAGCACCGGCUAACUCCGUG